GACGAACGCUGGCGGCGUGCUUAACACAUGCAAGUCGAACGAAGAGCGACGGAAGCUUGCUUCUAUCAAUCUUAGUGGCGAACGGGUGAGUAACGCGUGAUCAACCUGCCCUUCAGAGGGGGACAACAGUUGGAAACGACUGCUAAUACCGCAUACGAUCUAAUCUCGGCAUCGAGGAUGGAUGAAAGGUGGCCUCUACAUGUAAGCUAUCACUGAAGGAGGGGAUUGCGUCUGAUUAGCUAGUUGGAGGGGUAACGGCCCACCAAGGCGAUGAUCAGUAGCCGGUCUGAGAGGAUGAACGGCCACAUUGGGACUGAGACACGGCCCAGACUCCUACGGGAGGCAGCAGUGGGGAAUCUUCCGCAAUGGACGAAAGUCUGACGGAGCAACGCCGCGUGAGUGAUGACGGCCUUCGGGUUGUAAAGCUCUGUUAAUCGGGACGAAAGGCCUUCUUGCAAAUAGUAGAAGGAUUGACGGUACCGGAAUAGAAAGCCACGGCUAA
rnacentral:rRNA from 1 species